ACUCACGUCUGACCUAGCAAUAUAUAGUGAAUGAUGAAGGUUGUUUAACUGUAAAGUUCUCUUAUUAGUGAAGAUUAUGACUGUAACUAAUGAAUAAGGUCUGGCUAACUUCGUGCCAGCAGCCGCGGUGAUACGAGGAGACCUAGUGUUAAUCGGAAUAAUUGGGCGUAAAAUGUAUGUAGACUGUAAUCGUUUGUUAAGAACUAAAACCUAAAAAUUCUUUAGGCUACUCUUAAUUACAGAUUUCUUGAGUAAAAAAAAGGAUUAUAGAAUUUCGAAAGUAGAAAUAAAAUUUGUAGAUUUUCGAAGGAAUGCUUAAAGCGAAAGCAAUAAUCUUGUUUUAUACUGACGUUGAUAUACGAAAGCAUAGGUAGCAAAGAGGAUUAGAUACCCUCGUAGUCUAUCGCUAUAAACUAUGAAUACUCGUUUUUGGAGAUUUUCUUCAGAAACUUAGCUAACGCGUUAAGUAUUCUGCCUGAGGAGUACGUCGGCAACGUUAAAACUCAAAGGAAUUGACGGGAAUUCGCACAAUUGAUGGAACAUGUGGUUUAAUUCGUCAGUACACGCAAAACCUUACCAAUUUUUGCAUAAUUUAAAAACUUCUUUAAAAGGAUAAUACAUUUAAAUUACAGGUGUUGCAUGGUUGUCGUAAGCUCGUGUUUUGAGAUGUCAGGUUAACUCCAGUAACGAGCGAAACCCUUUAUUUUUAUUGCUAAUUUAAUUUUUCUUUCUUUUUUCUUUUUAGAUAAUUAAAUGUACAUAAAAAAAAUUGCUUAUGAUAUAUAAGAUUAAAGAAAGGACCACGACAAAUCUUCAUGACCCUUAUAAGUUGGGCUACUUCAUGUGUUACAGUGAUAAUUAUACAAAAAGUUGCAAUAAUGUUAAUUGAAGCUAAUCUUUAAAAAUUAUCGAAGUUCUAAUUGUUUUCUGAAAUUUGAAAACAUGAAGAUGGAACCAAUAGUAAUCGUUAAUCAGCAUGUAACGGUGAAUGUGUUCUCGAAUUUUGUACAUACCGCCCGUCACAGCCUGGAAAUUAUGUUUAUUCUAAUAUUGCACAUAAAAACUUUGUUUUUAUAUUUGCAUGUUUAAAUAUGCUUUUAAAUACGAAUUACUAAUGUGUUCUGUAAAAUAUACUUGAUAACUGUGCUGAAGUCGGAACAAGGUAAUGGUAGAGAAUCUGCUGUUG
rnacentral:rRNA from 1 species